UUUCCGUAGGUGAACCUGCGGAAGGAUCAUUCAUAAUAAAGUGUUUUAUGGCACUUUUUAAAAAUCCAUAUCCACCUUGUGUGCAAUGUUAGAUCUCGUCAAUCUUGGCGAGAUUUUUAUACAUCAACUCAUUCUUUAACUAAUUUGUCUGAAAAAUAUUACGAAUACUUAAUUCAAAAUACAACUUUCAACAACGGAUCUCUUGGCUCUCGCGUCGAUGAAGAACGCAGC
rnacentral:misc_RNA from 1 species